UAAAAAAAUGCCAAUGGUAAAUGAUAACCUCAUCUAAUAAAAUUGGAAUAAUUCCGAGAUUGGGGUUUCACGUCUGUUCGGACAUCACUAAUUGUAACGAGAACCGAGCGUCUCUGAUUUAUUCAUUUAAAAACUUUAUUGGAUACAAUUUACAAAAAUGUAUGAACUAUAGUGGUGUAACUUUAAAAAAAUUUAGUAGUGUGACAGAGUCAGCACCGACUUAACGCCAUAUGGCAUUCUCUAACGGUCAACCAACAACAUAAGACCAAACGGAGAUAGCAAGGUUAUAGGAUAUGAGUAUAUACUCCUAUUAUUAACACUUUAACUUGAAAAUACUCUGAAAAUUAGAGCCGACGACCGUGCGAAGUGGAGACAAAAUAGGCUCCGACGCUUAAUGUCUGCGGAAGGAGCAGGGAAAACGCUUAGAUGAAAGAGAGAAAGAGAAAGACUAACUUGCAGAGUCCUGAGGUGUGAGCGGCCGCUGUAUGGUCUGCUGUAUGACGGCGAGCCAGCCGGCGCGGUCCUCAUGCGUUUUGGCGGCGAGGCAGUACGUCCGGUCGGGCGUCACCACUUGGAAGGGGAAUCUGGCGUCCUUGCAACCGUUACCGGUGUUCGACACCCUUAUGUAGUAGCCGUGUGAUUCGUGUCC